rnacentral:piRNA from 1 species
GAUGAUUGCAGUCUAUUGUCUGAUG